GAUGAACGCUGGCGGCGUGCCUAAUACAUGCAAGUCGAGCGAACGGACGAGAAGCUUGCUUUUCUGAUGUUAUCGGCGGACGGGUGAGUAACACGUGGAUAACCUACCUAUAAGACUGGGAUAACUUCGGGAAACCGGAGCUAAUACCGGAUAAUAUUUUGAACCGCAUGGUUCAAAAGUGAAAGACGGUCUUGCUGUCACUUAUAGAUGGAUCCGCGCUGCAUUAGCUAGUUGGUAAGGUAACGGCUUACCAAGGCAACGAUGCAUGGCCGACCUGAAAGGGAGAUCGGCCACACGGGAAGUGAGACAGGGCACAGACUCCUACGGGAGGACGCAGUAGGGAAUCUUACGCGAUGGGGGAGAGCGUGACGGAGCAACGCCGGGUGAGUGAUGAAGGUCUUCGGAUCGUAAAACUAUGUUAUUAGGGAAGAACAUAUGUGUAAGUACCUGUGAACAUAUUGACGGUACCUAAUCAGAAAGCCCCGGCUAACUACGUG
rnacentral:rRNA from 1 species